rnacentral:lncRNA from 1 species
GCACAGAGUCAGACAUGACUGAAGCGACUUAGCAGCAGCAGCAGCAACAAGACUGUCUGAUAGAAUAACCAGAGUCCAAACUCAGUUUUGAAGUUUUGUCUGAUUAGUUUAGAAAAGCUUUGAGAAGUGGACUGCUUCAUUAAAUCAAAAAAAGGACAACUGAUUUUACCUUCUGUAUAUGUCCUACUUUUACUAUAUUGGAUUCUCCACUUAAAAACUUGUAUUGGGCACUCAUGGCUUGAAAAUCGUAGAAUGGAACAGUAAAACUUAAAAUCCUUUGUGCUCAUACAUCCCCUGGCCUUGAAGAUUGUGUGGUCUAGAUGAGAGAGAAAAUGCAUAGAGAAAUUCUUCAGUAUACUAGCAAAUCAUCAACUGUAUAAAUACAAAUUAAACUGAGCAAACUAAUUGCAUAAAUGCCGAGGGGUGUCAAAGUAAUGAGCAGGUUCAAGGGAAUGAUCACUAAGGUCUGUUUCAGCUACAGAAUGCCAUGAGGUUACAUACGACUGAUAAUUAGAUAAGGCAGCACUCAGCAGUAACCCUCAGCCUUGGGGAGCUUGAGGAAAUCGGGCCAAAGACAAGCCAAGAAUUGAACAAAACUUAAGUACUGGGAGCGCAUGCUCUUUUGGGCUGCAGUAGACAAGGGGACUCCGGAGGAGGAUUUGGAAUUUGCCCGAGACAGAGGAAGGCAAGAGAGGAAAGUCAGGCUGUCCUCUUUGGGAGGCUUCAACUACGCAAGAGAAGGCAGUGAUAUCAUACCAUCUCUACAACGUUGUGACUGUUUCCCAAGUUUGCCAAGAUUAGAUUCUUUCUAUCUGAGUUUCAGGUCAGCAUUUUGUGGAUGUUUUAUGUAUCUUAUUUCCUGUCAUCAUUUGGAAUAUUCCUUCUGAAGAUCCUUUUGUUAAUCAAAUAUCAUAUAGAGAGAGUCCUUGACAUCAUUGUGUAUUAAGAGAUUUUGAUGUGAGCUGUAUCAGCAUAGGGCUCAAGGGCUUCCCAGGUGGCUCAGUGGUAAAGAAUCUGCCUGAAAAUGCAGUAGACACAGGAGACAUGGGUUUGAUCCCUGGGUCAGGAAGAUCCUCUGGAGNNNNNNNNNNNNNNNNNNUCCAGUAUUCUUGCCUGAAAAUUCCAUGGACAGAGGAGCCUGGCAGGCUAUAGUCCAUGGAGUUGUGAAGAGUUGAACACAGGGGAUCU